rnacentral:rRNA from 1 species
GACGAACGCUGGCGGCGUGCUUAACACAUGCAAGUCGAACGGAAAGGCCCUGCUUGCAGGGUACUCGAGUGGCGAACGGGUGAGUAACACGUGGGUGAUCUGCCCUGCACUUCGGGAUAAGCCUGGGAAACUGGGUCUAAUACCGGAUAGGAGCCAUUUUUAGUGUGAUGGUUGGAAAGUUUUUUCGGUGUAGGAUGAGCUCGCGGCCUAUCAGCUUGUUGGUGGGGUAAUGGCCUACCAAGGCGGCGACGGGUAGCCGGCCUGAGAGGGUGGACGGCCACAUUGGGACUGAGAUACGGCCCAGACUCCUACGGGAGGCAGCAGUGGGGAAUAUUGCACAAUGGGCGCAAGCCUGAUGCAGCGACGUCGCGUGGGGGAUGACGGCCUUCGGGUUGUAAACUCCUUUCGCUAGGGACGAAGCUUUUUGUGACGGUACCUAGAGAAGAAGCACCGGCUAACUACGUG